rnacentral:lncRNA from 1 species
UACUAAAGCUUAUCAUUUGGGAUAUGUGGGUUAUUGUUUUUUUUUUCUCUCCCACACUCGAACAUCAUCAUAGGCAAAAGAUUGUUUGUAUCAAAAUCUAUAAUUUUAAUUCCCUGGAUGAUUGCUACAUGUGGGGCUUUAUGGUCAUCAUUUACGAAUCCCAAUAAUCAAACCAUAUAAAAUGAAAAAAAAAAACCAAAGAUAGUCCAGCUUUUGUUUUAGGUGAGGUCUACACAAUUGAAAAACAAUAAUAAAAGUUGCAACGAAAGAAUAAAAAAUUCAACAUAAGAAAUAGAUUAAAGAAACAAUGAUAAAAGUUGCAAUGAAAGAAUAAAAAAUUCAACACAAGAAAUAGAUUAUGGAAGAAAAUUAAAGAAUAGGAGGGGCCAUUACCGUUUGAAGGGAAAGAGAUUUGAGCAAAAACGUCCAGAUCUUGGUGAAGGGAGAUGAUGAUAGUGGCUAGUCGAAAGUAGUGACAGCAGUGAUGGGAGAGGUUUUGGGAGUGUCGGCAGUGUGGUGGAUCUAGGAAUUUUGUAAGUUAUGUUUGCUAUGUUUUAAUUCACAAUAUUAUGAAUGUAGGGAAAGAGAUGUGAGCAAAAAAGUUCAGAUUUUGGUGGAGGGGAGAUGAUGAUAGUGGCUAGUCGAAAGUGGAGAUGACAGCAAAAGAGUCCAGAUCUUGGUGAAGGGAGAUGAUGAUAGUGGCUAGUUGAAAGUAGUGACAACAGUGAUGGGAGAGGUUUUGGGAGUGUCGACAGUGUUGUAGAUCUAGGGAUUUUGUAAUUUAUGUUUGCUAUGUUUUAAU